rnacentral:miRNA from 1 species
UUGCUAAUGGAUAGCCAGAAAGGGC